AUCCAGCUGACGAGUCCCAAAUAGGACAAACCGCACGUCCUGGAU
rnacentral:hammerhead_ribozyme from 1 species